rnacentral:misc_RNA from 1 species
ACAAAUCAAAAUGUUUCAUUUACACAGAGUUGAUAAAUUUCCGUCACACCUUAGUGUGGCAGACAUCAAAUUGAUCAAUUAGUAACAAAUAGUGAAAAAAAAUACAGGUCAAACGAAUCAGUUACUCACUCGAAAACAGACUAAAUAUAGAUACACUGAUGCAACAAGCAAUGAGAAUGAAUUAUUUUCUCAUGUUCGUUUUCUCAGAUUUUAUAUCACACUAUAAAUGGAAUCGUGUAAUUCACGGUUAGGUAAGAAUGAAA